CUUAUUUUGGUUAAUUCCCUUCUAGGAUGAAGGGGAUGGAGGACCAGAACCUGAAGGUGAAGAUGAAGUUGAAGGUGAAGUUGAAGGGCAAGGAGAGGUCGAAAUUGAGAGCGAGGGUGAACCACAAGAUGUUGAUGUUGAGCAAGUUGAGAGUGAGGGUGAGAAAUCUCAGGAAGUUGAAAUGGGCAAUCAAAGGGAAGAAAGUGAAGAGAGGUAUUUGGAGAGUGAUGAUGAGGGAUAUGGUCAACGAGUUGUAACAAGUAGAAGACGAAAUACAAUUGACAGUGGGUCUGAAAGAUCAGGGGAGAAUUAUUAUGCUGCUAGCAAGGAUGAGGAAGUGAAUCAGGCCAGAAGGUCUAGUAGAUCACCUGGCGAUGAGAAAAACGAGGAUCACCUUUUAUACUCAGCUCCAGAGAUCCGUGAUGUUUUUGGGGACUCUGACGAUGAAGAACAAGAAGAGUACGCAGUUCAGAAUCAGAUCGAAGAAGAUGAAAAUAGAUCUCUUCCAGAUGAAGAGGACAAUUUUGAGAAAGGACUAAGGCCAGAGGAUAUGAUUCCUGAUGAAGAUGCCCCAUAUGAGUCUGAAGAAGAGCACACUGAGGCUAGACCCAAAGAAAAGCCCGUUGGUCCUCCUCUGGAGCUAGAGAUUCCUCUGCGUCAUCCUCCAGCUGACCCGGACAAGAUGCAUAUGAUUAAAGUUUCAAAUAUAAUGGGUAUUGAUCCCAAGCCAUUUGAUCCUAAAACAUAUGUGGAAGACGAUGUUUAUAUCACUGAUGAAUCUGGAUCAAAAAAGAGAAUACGGUUAGAGAAUAAUAUUGUUCGCUGGAGGAGGGUUAAAAAUCCUGAUGGCACAACAUCUGUUGAAAGCAAUGCACGCUUUGUGGAAUGGUCAGAUGGCAGCCUACAGUUACUCAUUGGAAAUGAAGUGCUUGAUAUAUCUAAGCAAGAUGCUCAACACGAACAAGCACACCUUUUCCUCAGACAUGGAAAGGGUAUUCUUCAGUCUCAGGGAAGAAUUUUAACCAAGAUGAAGUUUAUGCCUUCAUCCUUGACUUCUAAUUCGCAUCGUCUGUUGACUGCUCUUGUCGAUUCGCGGCACAAAAAGGUUUACAAAGUCAAGAACUGCAUCACUGACAUCGACCCUGAGAGAGAGAAGGAGCAAAAGGAGAAGGCUGUAAGUCAAUCAAUUAGGGCUAGUGCAGUCCUUAGUCGGAAGAAGGAGAAGGUGAAAAGUAAAUAUACACAACCUAUCCGUCGGGAACGUCAACUUUCACCUGGUUUUCUGGAGGAUGCACUUGAUGAGGACGAUGAUCAAGAUUACUAUGAACCUCGACGGUCUGCUGCCCGCCGUAGCUUUGAGGAAGACCUUGAAAUGGAAGCUCGAGCUGAGAAGCGUAUUAUUAAUGCAAAGAAGGGCCCGAAAGAUAUCGCUCGCAAAUCAGCAUUGCCAUCUCGGCGGUCAAUGGACUUUGCUGAAAGUGAGGAGGAAUCUGAAUAUGAAACUGAAGGGGAAGAAGAUGAGGGUUCUCCAUCACAUAGAAGGGACAUGGAAGCAGAGCAGGAUUAUGAGGAAGAUGUAGGACGUGAAUUGGGAGAGGAGGAUGAAACUUACGAAGAAUCAGAGGAGGAGGCUAAGGAGCCCAAGCAAAGGGCGAAGCAGUCAGGAGGCAGCCUCAAAAGAAAGGACAUUGAGUCAGAUGAGGACUCUCCUCCAAGGAAAGCUGCAACCCAUCGUCGAAUGGCAAUUGUUUAUGAUAGUGAUGAGGAGUAGGACCUUUGUUUCAAGGAGUACAAGUGAGUAAUACCCACUUACAGUCUGUAUUACAAUCUCAUAGUCCAGAUUUAGUUCCAUUUGUGGAUUUUAUCGGAUGAUCAUUCUCAGGCAUUCAUGGACAAUUCUGCAUUCGGCCUCGCCUGGAACUUUCCUUUGCAUGCAGAUUUUAAGAUCCGCAGUAGUUUCAUACUUAAACGCUGCCAGGUUUGGCACUACAAUGUAUAUACGUCAUAAAGUUUUCCUUGGUAACUUCUUUAUUUCUUAAUUUUAGGAAUUUCAUUGCAAUUUAUUUGUAAUCAUCUCUAUAAAUGAUUGUCGUAUAAUGGCUUGAAUAAACUGCACUUUCUUUCUUUUUCCUUUUUUAAAUUAAUUUAGCAGACAAUUGUUAAUCA